rnacentral:lncRNA from 1 species
GUAGACGGGAUGGUUGUGAGCGGGACAGAAACUCCACCACAAGGGUUCUGGGGGUACUACAGGGACUAAAGGAAGCAGUGUGAUCAGUGUGAAAGCAGCAAGGCCAUGAUUUAUUUCUUGGGCGUGUAGUUUUCUCCCGAGGCCUCUGCUUGGUUAUUUUACCCAGCAUCGGUGCCAAAGGAGAUUUCCCCAAAGGGAAAAGUACUGCAGUGCUCGACGCAUUACAGUCCUUUCCCGUUUGCAAGCUCUCCCACACAUUCCUUCUUCUGUUCCCAAAUCACAGGAGACGACGAGAAAGAGAACAGACCACCUGUCCAGAUAAUUUGCCUUUGGAGUCUGCAGGGCUGGUGAAGGCAUCCUGAGAUGGGGGAGGCCCCUGGGGACCUCCACAGUCAGGGCUCCCACCUCCUCUCCCACACCGCUCUGCCUCAUGCCCUGGGUUGCCUGUCUGACUGUCUCAAGACUGGGGGUUCUCCGGUGAGCAGAUGGCUGCUUAGCGUAAGUAGAACAACAUAUUUUUAAAAUAAUAUUUAACAGAAGGGAAGAAGGAGGCCUUACCGCAGUCAAACCACCCUUCCUAGCUUGAAUCCAAUGCAUCCUCCCAUAGUGUAAAGGCCGCCCCCACACUCUCUCGUGACAACCGUGGGGUGUGAGGUGCGGGGUAUGUUGCUUAAUUCAAAGACAGGAAAGCAGCUUGGGUGCAUCUUUAGAAGCGUGAGCACCCCCAGUAUCCACUCUCGGUAUUUCUCCAGAUCCUCCUUCGUCAGGCACCUUUCCCUGCCUGUCCAUUUACUUUUAUUAUUAAAUUUUCCAUCAUUCUACUCUUUGGACCCUUUCCUUUAUAUGGUCUUUUAUUCUCUCUAAGUUUGAGGCUUAUUCUUCAGCUACUAAGUUCCUUACACAUGAUAUUAUUUAUUUCUCACUCUGCGUGUCAGCCCCUCC